UCUGACUGGACCGAAGGCCUCCUUCACAUGAGGAACUCGGGGUAGCCAACCCACGGCUUUCUGACUGGACCGAAGGCCUCCUUCACACGAGGAACUCGGGCCUGGUACUGUAAACUUGCCCAAGAACCCAUGCCCCAGGGUGAACCCAGGACUGUUAUUCCGCUAAACAGACACAGUGUCAAACUCUCUUCCGAGUCCUGCCUUUAACCCACAGCAUCUUCUUAGAGGUGGGACUUAACGUUACCACUCAGCACGCUAAGAGGCAACCACCAAGGAGCUCUGUGGCCAGCACGGAAACGACUUUGAUGGGUUUCAUGUGACCCAGAUGACUGGAACUUCACAGGUGGCUAAAGAUGACCCUGAACUGCUGACCCUUCUACCUCAUCUGGAUGACAGGAGCGUGCCACCCUGUGCCACCCUGUGCCACCCUGUGGCUUCCAACACCCUCUUAUUUAUUGAAACCCUGGCGCUUGGACUCAGGCCUUCCUAGGAAAAGGCUCUGCCGCUGAGGUAGCCCUCUGCACCUGGACAUUUGCACACUGCCCUUCCUGCUUCAGAGGUGAUUCCAUCAGAAGCUCCUCUACACGGUCUGUCCUGUCCUACACUAGGACAGGCCCCAGCUUCAUCCGUUCCUCCCCAGGCUCACACAGUAUCCCACCGACUCAGUUCUCCAAGUCCCUUCAUUGUUUCUAAAUUAGAUUCUUUAAUUUUCCCUUUGUAAAAAGCACAUUUGGGUCGGGAGGCAGACUCAGUUAAGGUUGCAAGCAUACAGCCCAGGUCCAGGCCUAGCAUCACAUAAACCCCCGUGAUUUGGCUUACUUACGUCUAUCAUCACUUAGGAGGGAGAGGCAGGAGAUCAAGAUCAUUCUCAGAUACAUGAACUAGCCUGGGCUGUAGGACACCCUGUCUCAACAAGAACAAAAUAAAAAGUAAAAAGAAAAGCAUCUCUAAUUAAGCUGCUCGGGAUCAGUGAAAUGAUGAGGAUAAGGGGAAGAGGGAUGCAAUGGGGUGAAUAUGACAACCAAAUGUGUGCAUCAGAGCCAAGGUUAACCUGCAAGUCCCACUUGCCCAAGGACAAGAUAACUUCCUGGAAUGCUGGGAGCUGCAGUCCUUGGGAAAUAACAAGCCACAUGUUUUACUCCCCUAAACAAGACUGCUUGAACCAGCUAUACCACCAAAUGUGAUCGACCACAUGCAGGUAGGAGAUACACAGGCAGGAAAUUGUGCAUCAGGAUGCAUGCUUGCCUCAUGGGAAAUGUGGUGAAUUGUGAGGUUUGUCCUUUUAAGCCCCUGCAAAACGUGACCUGUGGCCAUUCCCUGGGAAUCCAGGGAGAGUCCUGGCCAGAGUCCAUCAACCUGGCCAGUAUUUAAUUAAGCUUGCUUCAAAUUUGGCUCAAAAUUGUGGACUGGUUUCUUUCUCUCAAAUUCAGAAUUAACAUGUAUGUAUAAAGUGUCAUAACAAAAUCAUUGCAUAUCAUUAAUAUAUAUUAAUAAGAACAAUGUAGUGAGAUUCUACCUUGAAAACUACUCAACAACCCAGAUGACGAUCUGGCCAAUGACUAUCAGGUAGAUGUAGUUUUUUUUUUUUUCCUUUUUAGAUGUAUCUAC